rnacentral:rRNA from 1 species
UACGUAGGGGGCUAGCGUUAUCCGGAAUUACUGGGCGUAAAGGGUGCGUAGGUGGUUUCUUAAGUCAGAGGUGAAAGGCUACGGCUCAACCGUAGUAAGCCUUUGAAACUGGGGAACUUGAGUGCAGGAGAGGAGAGUGGAAUUCCUAGUGUAGCGGUGAAAUGCGUAGAUGUUAGGAGGAACACCAGUUGCGAAGGCGGCUCUCUGGACUGUAACUGACACUGAGGCACGAAAGCGUGGGGAGCAAACAGG